CCUCCGGGUGGCAGCAGUGGGGAAUGUUGGACAAUGGGGGGAACCCUGAUCCAGCCAUGCCGCGUGUGUGAAGAAGGCCCUCGGGUUGUAAAGCACUUUCAGUGAGGAAGAACGCCUGGUGGUUAAUACCCAUCAGGAAAGACAUCACUCACAGAAGAAGCACCGGCUAACUCCGUGCCAGCAGCCGCGGUAAUACGGAGGGUGCGAGCGUUAAUCGGAAUUACUGGGCGUAAAGCGCGCGUAGGUGGCUUGAUAAGCCGGUUGUGAAAGCCCCGGGCUCAACCUGGGAACGGCAUCCGGAGCUGUCAAGCUAGAGUGCAGGCAAGGAAGGUAGAAUUCCCGGUGUAGCGGUUAAAGGCGUAGAGAUCGGGAGGAAUACCAGUGUCGAUGGCGGCCUUCUGGACUGACACUGACACUGAGGUGCGAAAGCGUGGGUAGCAAACAGGAUUAGAUACCCGUGUAGUC
rnacentral:rRNA from 1 species